CAAAAUAUCACUUCUGUCAUACAGACCAGCUCUGAUUUGAUAUGGAAGUUGAACACAUAAGACUAUAGAUAUUGGGAGUUAUCUUGGAUACUUGUCACCACAUAUAUCUAGAAAAUAAAACAUUGGUGAAAUCAACAGUGACUAAGAAGGAGGAAUCACAUAAGAACAUCAUCAGGGAUGAACAAUUCUCAUUUUGAAGAUCACUACACUGGAGGCAUUCAAUGCAAUGAUGCUGUUGAAAACAGAAUGUCUGGAGAGAGAGACCUUGGGAGUCAAGGAGAAAAUGUUGUGAAGACAUAGCCGCCUGGCUGUAUCUCAGAGGAUGAUUCCCAGCCGAGAGCAAAGUGCAAGGCAAAGUAUUUUCAAAAGCAUUCAUGGGGACCAUUAAAGGCUUAUGACAACUUCA